AUGUCUCCCUCUCCACUGGCUCCUUCCCUCUCACCUAUAAAGGUCCCUCCUGGAGGACUGCCUGGAAGGGGAGCCUCCACUUCCUCUCUUCUCAGUCUCUUCACCUUUCUGAUCUCAUUCUACCCACACAGUGCCCCCCAAAGACUUCCUAUUGGCCAAACCCAACAUCCUCUUCCCAGUCUUCGACCUAUCCGCAGCGUUGGGCACAGGGUCCCCCCUCCUCUCUGGAUUUUCAGGCUGUCCCUCUCCUGGUUCUCCUCCUCCCUCUCUGACUGCUCCUUCUCUGGCUCCCUCCAGAUUGUAGUGGAGAAUCCUCAGAUCUCCUCCUCUGGGGAUCCCCCUUAUGCCCUAAGGACUGGCUUUGCAAGGCUGACCCACCCUGAAGCUUGCUCUGUUGCCCCUCCUUCCCUGGCACCUGCCAGGACUCCAGAACAAAGUACGUGGUUCCCCUUCACAGGGCACUGCUCCUGCCGGAGCUGUGACCUGACAGAUCUGUGCUGGAUUGAGGUUCAGGCCUGGGCCACUGAGGCAGGAAUGACAAAAGCACGUGCUCCCAGGGGGCAGGGAUGGGGGUUGGGUCUGGCUGCCUCAGCUAGGGCUGGCCAGCUGGUUCCCUCUGCCUGGGCUGGCACACGCUGCUCACCCUGCCAGGGCUCCUGGGUCCAUCUGCCUAUCCACGGAGGCUGUGGCUGGUUCCUUUCCCUCGUGUCUCUUCUUAGCCAAGCUAGCUCUACUGCUGCACUGAGAGCAUCAGCCUCCUGGGGCUCAUCUGAGAGGAAUGCCGGGCCCAGAGAACCCUCCUCAGGAUGGGCAGGCCACAGGCAGCUGAGCCUGCCUGCCGGCCUCCCCUCCCCCUCUCCUCCCCUCCCCUCCCCCUCCCCCGUAGGGGGCACGGCAGAGGCCACAGCCUGCAGGUCCUCUGGCUGGUUGAGUUCGCCCAAGGCAGGCCAGUGGCAGCCCCUGCCCCGAGGAUUUCAGGCAGAGCUUUCUUCUAAGCCCUAUUCUAAUGGAAAGCGAGCAGGGCUUAUUUAA
rnacentral:lncRNA from 1 species